rnacentral:rRNA from 1 species
UACGAGGGGGGCAAGCGUUGUUCGGAAUUACUGGGCGUAAAGGGCUCGUAGGCGGCCAACUAAGUCGGACGUGAAAUCCCCAGGCUCAACCUGGGAACUGCGUCCGAUACUGGAUGGCUUGAAUUCGGGAGAGGGAUGCAGAAUUCCAGGUGUAGCGGUGAAAUGCGUAGAUAUCUGGAGGAAUACCGGUGGCGAAGGCGGCAUCCUGGACCGACAUUGACGCUGAUGAGCGAAAGCCAGGGGAGCAAACGGG